UACGGGGGGGGCAAGCGUUGUUCGGAAUUACUGGGCGUAAAGGGCGCGUAGGCGGCCUGCUAAGUCACACGUGAAAUCCCUCGGCUCAACCGGGGAACUGCGUGUGAUACUGGCGGGCUUGAAUUCGGGAGAGGGAUGUGGAAUUCCAGGUGUAGCGGUGAAAUGCGUAGAUAUCUGGAGGAACACCGGUGGCGAAGGCGGCAUCCUGGACCAACACUGACGCUGAGGAGCGAAAGCCAGGGGAGCAAACGGG
rnacentral:rRNA from 1 species